rnacentral:rRNA from 1 species
CGCGGCCUAUCAGCUUGUUGGUGAGGUAACGGCUCACCAAGGCGACGACGGGUAACCGGCCUGAGAGGGUGACCGGUCACACUGGGACUGAGACACGGCCCAGACUCCUACGGGAGGCAGCAGUGGGGAAUAUUGCACAAUGGGCGCAAGCCUGAUGCAGCAACGCCGCGUGAGGGAUGACGGCCUUCGGGUUGUAAACCUCUUUUAGCAGGGAAGAAGCGAAAGUGACGGUACCUGCAGAAAAAGCACCGGUUAACUACGUGCCAGCAGCCGCGGUAAUACGUAGGGUGCAAGCGUUGUCCGGAAUUAUUGGGCGUAAAGAGCUCGUAGGCGGUUUGUCACGUCUGCUGUGAAAAUCCAAGGCUCAACCUUGGACUUGCAGUGGGUACGGGCAGGCUAGAGUGCGGUAGGGGAGAUGGGAAUUCCUGGUGUAGCGGUGGAAUGCGCAGAUAUCAGGAGGAACACCAAUGGCGAAGGCACAUCUCUGGGCCGUAACUGACGCUGAGGAGCGAAAGCGUGGGGAGCGAACAGGAUUAGAUACCCUGGUAGUCCACGCCGUAAACGGUGGGUGCUAGCUGUGGGCCACAUUCCACGUGGUCCGUGACGAAGUUAACACAUUAAGCACCCCGCCUGGGGAGUACGG